GACGAACGCUGGCGGCGUGCUUAACACAUGCAAGUCGAACGGAAAGGCCUGCUUUCCCCUGUGGAUUGCGGGUACUCGAGUGGCGAACGGGUGAGUAACACGUGAGUGAUCUGCCCCCAACUUGGGUAUAAGCCUGGGAAACUGGGUCUAAUUCCCGAUAGGACUGCAGGGUGGUGCCUGUGGUGGAAAACGAUUUUCUAGUGGUUGGGGAUGAGCUCGCGGCCUAUCAGCUUGUUGGUGGGGUAAUGGCCUACCAAGGCGGCGACGGGUAGCCGGCCUGAGAGGGUGGACGGCCACAUUGGGACUGAGAUACGGCCCAGACUCCUACGGGAGGCAGCAGUGGGGAAUAGUGCACAAUGGGCGGAGGCCUGAUGCAGCGACGCCGCGUGGGGGAUGACGGCCUUCGGGUUGUAAACUCCUUUCGACCGCGAGGAAGCCACCUGGUUGGAAGGGUGGUGACGGUAGUGGUAGAAGAAGCACCGGCUAACUACGUG
rnacentral:rRNA from 1 species